GACAGAGGUCCCGAGCGUUAGGCGGAAUCACUGGGCUUAAAGCGUGUGUAGGCGGAGUGCUAAGUACCUUGUGAAAUCCCACGGCUUAACCGUGGAACUGCUGGGUAUACUGGUUCUCUUGGGCCACUUAGGGGUUACCGGAACAAACGGUGGAGCGGUGAAAUGCGUAGAUAUCUGGAGGAAUACCGGUGGCGAAGGCGGCAUCCUGGACCGACAUUGACGCUGAGGAGCGAAAGCUAGGGGAGCAAACGGG
rnacentral:rRNA from 1 species